AGCGAACGCUGGCGGCAGGCCUAAUACAUGCAAGUCGAGCGCACCUUCGGGUGAGCGGCGGACGGGUGAGUAACGCGUGGGAACGUGCCCUUUGGUACGGGAUAACUGAGGGAAACUUCAGCUAAUACCGUAUGUGCCCUACGGGGGAAAGAUUUAUCGCCAUUGGAGCGGCCCGCGUUGGCUUAGGUAGUUGGUGAGGUAAAGGCUCACCAAGCCUACGAUCCAUAGCUGGUCUGAGAGGAUGAUAAGCCACACUGGGGCUGAGACACGGCCCAGACUCCUACGGGAGGCAGCAGUAGGGAAUCUUGCGCAAUGGGCGAAAGCCUGACGCAGCCAUGCCGCGUGAAUGAUGAAGGUCUUAGGAUUGUAAAAUUCUUUCACCGGGGAAGAUAAUGACGGUACCCGGAGAAGAAGCCCCGGCUAACUUCGUGCCAGCAGCCGCCGUAAAAC
rnacentral:rRNA from 1 species